rnacentral:piRNA from 2 species
UUUUGAUUCCAGAUGUGUUCCCAAAUGC